rnacentral:sRNA from 1 species
CCCGGUGUUGAAACACCGGGCUAUUAUCGGCAGUCCCUACGGGACG